CCAGGAGUGGCUCAGAGGUUAAAGCAUCUAGCUGCAAUUUGGGAGACCUGGGUUCGAUCCCUGCGUCAGGA
rnacentral:tRNA from 1 species